rnacentral:rRNA from 1 species
UGGGGAAUUUUGCACAAUGGGGGAAACCCUGAUGCAUCGACGCCGCGUGAUUUAGAAGGCCUUCGGGUUGUAAAACUCUUUUCUAUGGGAAGAAAAUGACAGUACCAUAGGAAUAAGGACCGGCUAAUUACGUGCCAGCAGCCGCGUUAAUACGUAAGGUCCGAGCGUUUUCCGGAAUCAUUGGGCGUAAAGGGUACGUAGGCGGGUAAGCAAGUUAGAAGUGAAAUCCUAUAGCUCAACUAUAGUAAGCUUUUAAAACUGCUCAUCUUGAGGUAUGGAAGGGAGAGUGGAAUUCCGAGUGUAGCGGUGAAAUGCGGAGAUAUUAGGAGGAAUACCGGUGGCGAAGGCGACUUUCUGGCCAUAAUCUGACGCUGAGGUACGAAAGCGUGGGUAGCAAACAGG